rnacentral:rRNA from 1 species
GACGAACGCUGGCGGCGUGCCUAAUACAUGCAAGUAGGACGCACAGUUUAUACCGUAGCUUGCUACACCAUAGACUGUGAGUUGCGAACGGGUGAGUAACGCGUAGGUAACCUACCUAUUAGAGGGGGAUAACUAUUGGAAACGAUAGCUAAUACCGCAUAACAGUAUGUAACACAUGUUAGAUGCUUGAAAGAUGCAAUUGCAUCGCUAGUAGAUGGACCUGCGUUGUAUUAGCUAGUAGGUAGGGUAAAGGCCUACCUAGGCAACGAUACAUAGCCGACCUGAGAGGGUGAUCGGCCACACUGGGACUGAGACACGGCCCAGACUCCUACGGGAGGCAGCAGUAGGGAAUCUUCGGCAAUGGGGGGAACCCUGACCGAGCAACGCCGCGUGAGUGAAGAAGGUUUUCGGAUCGUAAAGCUCUGUUGUUAAGGAAGAACGAGUGUGAGAAUGGAAAGUUCAUACUGUGACGGUACUUAACCAGAAAGGGACGGCUAACUACGUGCCAGCAGCCGCGGUAAUACGUAGGUCCCGAGCGUUGUCCGGAUUUAUUGGGCGUAAAGCGAGCGCAGGCGGUUAGAAAAGUCUGAAGUGAAAGGCAGUGGCUCAACCAUUGUAGGCUUUGGAAACUGUUUAACUUGAGUGCAGAAGGGGAGAGUGGAAUUCCAUGUGUAGCGGUGAAAUGCGUAGAUAUAUGGAGGAACACCGGUGGCGAAAGCGGCUCUCUGGUCUGUAACUGA